rnacentral:rRNA from 1 species
AUACGGAGGGUGCAAGCGUUAAUCGGAAUUACUGGGCGUAAAGCGCACGCAGGCGGUUUGUUAAGUCAGAUGUGAAAUCCCCGGGCUCAACCUGGGAACUGCAUCUGAUACUGGCAAGCUUGAGUCUCGUAGAGGGGGGUAGAAUUCCAGGUGUAGCGGUGAAAUGCGUAGAGAUGUGGAGGAAUACCGGUGGCGAAGGCGGCCCCCUGGACGAAGACUGACGCUCAGGUGCGAAAGCGUGGGGAGCAAACAGGAUUAGAUACCCUGGUAGUCCACGCCGUAAACGAUGUCGACUUGGAGGUUGUGCCCUUGAGGCGUGGCUUCCGGAGCUAACGCGUUAAGUCGACCGCCUGGGGAGUACGGCCGCAAGGUUAAAACUCAAAUGAAUUGACGGGG